rnacentral:sRNA from 1 species
AUGGCUGUCGUCAGCUCGUGUUGUGAAAUGUUGGGUUAAGUCCCGCAACGAGCGCAACCCUUAUCCUUUGUUGCCAGCGAUUCGGUCGGGAACUCAAAGGAGACUGCCGGUGAUAAACCGGAGGAAGGUGGGGAUGACGUCAAGUCAUCAUGGCCCUUACGAGUAGGGCUACACACGUGCUACAAUGGCGCAUACAAAGAGAAGCGACCUCGCGAGAGCAAGCGGACCUCAUAAAGUGCGUCGUAGUCCGGAUCGGAGUCUGCAACUCGACUCCGUGAAGUCGGAAUCGCUAGUAAUCGUGGAUCAGAAUGCCACGGUGAAUACGUUCCCGGGCCUUGUACACACCGCCCGUCACACCAUGGGAGUGGGUUGCAAAAGAAGUAGGUAGCUUAACCUUCGGGAGGGCGCUUACCACUUUGUGAUUCAUGACUGGGGUGAAGUCGUAACAAGGUAACCGUAGGGGAACCUGCGGUUGGAUCACCUCCUUACCUGAAGAUACUGCCUUUCGAAGUGCUCACACAGAUUGUCUGAUAGAAAGUAUGAGCAAGGCGUCUUGCGAAGCAGGCUAUAUGUCCCCUUCGUCUAGAGGCCCAGGACACCGCCCUUUCACGGCGGUAACAGGGGUUCGAAUCCCCUAGGGGACGCCACUUGCUGGUUUGUGAGUGAAAGUCGCCGACCCUCCUAUCUUAAAGAUGACUUACGAGUCAUGUUUAAGAUAUUGCUCUUUAACAAUCCGGAACAAGCUGAAAAUUGAAACGACGCGUCGCGUUAUUCCUCCGUAACAAGGAAUAAAGGCGAAGCGUUCGAGUCUCUCAAUUAAUCACAUCCGCGACGUCGCAAGACGCCUGUGGGUUGUGAGGUUAAGCGACUAAGCGUACACGGUGGAUGCCCUGGCAGUCAGAGGCGAUGAAGGACGUGCUAAUCUGCGAAAAGCGCCGGCAAGGUGAUAUGAACCGCUACAGCCGGCGAUGUCCGAAUGGGGAAACCCGG